AUGUAAUGUAAUUCCUACAUCGUUAAUGAACUAGAUACCAUUAUAACUCUACAGUUAAGUGCACUUGGGAUAGAGUAGUAUUGGGAUGGGUGACCUCUCGGGAAGUCCUAGUGUUUUACAUG
rnacentral:rRNA from 1 species